rnacentral:piRNA from 1 species
UCUUAUACAAUUAUGAAAACA